rnacentral:rRNA from 1 species
GGCCAGACUCCUACGGGAGGCAGCAGUGGGGAAUAUUGCACAAUGGGGGGAACCCUGAUGCAGCGACGCCGCGUGAGGGAAGAAGGUUUUCGGAUUGUAAACCUCUGUCCUCUGUGACGAUAAUGACGGUAGCAGAGGAGGAAGCCACGGCUAACUACGUGCCAGCAGCCGCGGUAAUACGUAGGUGGCGAGCGUUAUCCGGAAUUACUGGGUGUAAAGGGAGCGCAGGCGGGAAGCCAAGUCAGCUGUGAAAACUACGGGCUUAACUUGUAGACUGCAGUUGAAACUGGUUUUCUUGAGUGAAGUAGAGGUUGGCGGAAUUCCGAGUGUAGCGGUGAAAUGCGUAGAUAUUCGGAGGAACACCGGUGGCGAAGGCGGCCAACUGGGCUUUAACUGACGCUGAGGCUCGAAAGUGUGGGGAGCAAACAGGAUUAGAUACCCGAGUAA